CCUACGGGGGGCAGCAGUGGGGAAUCUUGCGCAAUGGGCGAAAGCCUGACGCAGCAACGCCGCGUGGAGGAUGAAGGCCUUUGGGUUGUAAACUCCUGUCGGCUGGGAAGAAAUCGUACGGUGCUCAUACCACCGUGCGUUGACUGUACCAGCAAAGGAAGCCCCGGCUAACUCUGUGCCAGCAGCCGCGGUAAUACAGAGGGGGCCAGCGUUAUUCGGAAUUAUUGGGCGUAAAGGGCGCGUAGGCGGCCAUGCGUGUCUUCCGUGAAAUCCCUCGGCUUAACUGAGGACGUGCGGAAGAAACUGCAAGGCUCGAGUCCGGGAGAGGGGGGUGGAAUUCCCAGUGUAGCGGUGAAAUGCGUAGAUAUUGGGAGGAACACCGGUGGCGAAGGCGGCCCCCUGGACCGGUACUGACGCUGAGGCGCGAAAGCGUGGGUAGCAAACGGGAUUAGAUACCCGAGUAGUC
rnacentral:rRNA from 1 species